rnacentral:lncRNA from 1 species
UUGGCCGCUGUACAACUGUAAUCAUAAUUGCUGCAAACUUUGGGUUCAACUAAACUUAUUUUGAAUUUUGGUCAAUGAUUCCACAUUCAUGGUUGUAUGAUACCACUAUAUUGUCUCUGUGCAAGAGCUGUUUCAACCAGCAAUUUUUGGCUCUUGCUAUCUCUGUAUGUUUGUAGCUAUGUUUUUCUGGGAAGAUGUACCUGAACUAGUGUACCUGAUUAUUCUAUUUCUGUAUUCCUAUUACUGAAAUAGGAAGCGGGUCUCAUUUAGCAUCUCAUCAGAAUUCUUCAGCGGGAAUAUCACCUCCUGCUGAGAGCUUGCAGAAGCUGAGCUUGGAAGAGAAGCCUGCAGAGGUUACAUCAGAUAACAAACAUGGCGUGGUUUUCCCAGAUUACAUUCAAACUUUAGCUGCUGACUGCUCACAUUUGAGCUUUGGGACAUAUAAACCUGGAACACACGUUCCAAUUUCUGGGCCUGCAAUGUCUGAUUCCACAGAGAGUCACUUAUCUUUGUACGUCAAUACUGGACAAGGAUUUUUUUAUCUUUUGCAAUGUUAUGCAAUACUUAUUUGAUCUAUAUUUCUAUUCAAUAAGCAGGAAUGUGUGGUUGCCUGGAGAUUCACCUAAGCCUGAACAGCUUGUGUCCAUAAGCAAUACUCCCCUGUCAUUCCUAUUGCUGAAAUAGGAAACCGGUCUCAUUUAGCAUCGGAUCUGAAUUCUUUACCAGAAAUAUCACCUCCUGCUGAGAGCUUGCAGAAGCUGAGCUUGGAAGAGAAGCCUGCAGA